rnacentral:rRNA from 1 species
AACGUAGGAGACAAACGUUAUCCGGAGUUACUGGGCGUAAAGGGCGUGCAGGUGGUCUGUUAAGUCUGGCGUGAAAGCUCCUGGCUAAACCGGGAGAGGUCGUUGGAUACUGGCGGACUAGAGGACGGUAGAGGCGUGUGGAAUUCCGGGUGUAGUGGUGAAAUGCGUAGAGAUCCGGAGGAACACCAGUGGAGAAGGCGACACGCUGGGCCGUACCUGACACUGAUACGCGACAGCAUGGGGAGAGAACGGG